AUCUUGUACUGAAUACAUAGGUGCAAGAGGCGAACCAGGGGAACUGAAACAUCUAAGUACCCUGAGGAAAAGAAAUCAACCGAGAUUCCCUUAGUAGUGGCGAGCGAACGGGGACUAGCCCUUAAGUUGAUUUGAGAUUAGCGGAACGCUCUGGAAAGUGCGGCCAUAGUGGGUGAUAGCCCUGUACGCGAAAAUCUCUUGUCAAUGAAAUCGAGUAGGACGGAGCACGAGAAACUUUGUCUGAAUAUGGGGGGACCAUCCUCCAAGGCUAAAUACUACUGACUGACCGAUAGUGAACUAGUACCGUGAGGGAAAGGCGAAAAGAACCCCG
rnacentral:rRNA from 1 species